rnacentral:rRNA from 1 species
ACUCCUACGGGAGGCAGCAGUCGGGAAUUUUGGGCAAUGGGGGAAACCCUGACCCAGCAACGCCGCGUGAAGGAUGAAGUAUUUCGGUAUGUAAACUUCGAAAGAAUAGGAAGAAUCAAUGACGGUACUAUUUAUAAGGUCCGGCUAACUACGUGCCAGCAGCCGCGGUAAU